UUGAUUCAUUUUCGAAACGCCCGCUAGGGGCGCCGAGAAAGUCUCAGAAGUAAAAAAACCCGCGAGGGGGUAUACAAAAAGAGUUUUGGGUUGGUCCUCCGGCGGGCGCCUUGGUCCGGGGCUGCGACGCGCCCGGGGCAGAGAUCCCGCCGAGGCAACAGUUUGGUAACGUUCACAUUGGGUUUGGGAGUUGUAAACUCGGUAAUGAUCCCUCCGCUGGUUCACCAACGGAGA
rnacentral:misc_RNA from 1 species